GACGAACGCUGGCGGCGUGCCUAAUACAUGCAAGUAGAACGCUGAAGGAGGAGCUUGCUUCUCCGGAUGAGUUGCGAACGGGUGAGUAACGCGUAGGUAACCUGCCUGGUAGCGGGGGAUAACUAUUGGAAACGAUAGCUAAUACCGCAUAACAGUAGAUGUUGCAUGACAUUUGCUUAAAAGGUGCAAUUGCAUCACUACCAGGUGGACCUGCGUUGUAUUAGCUAGUUGGUGAGGUAACGGCUCACCAAGGCGACGAUACAUAGCCGACCUGAGAGGGGGAUCGGCCACACUGGGACUGAGACACGGCCCAGACUCCUACGGGAGGCAGCAGUAGGGAAUCUUCGGCAAUGGACGGAAGUCUGACCGAGCAACGCCGCGUGAGUGAAGAAGGUUUUCGGAUCGUAAAGCUCUGUUGUAAGAGAAGAACGAGUGUGAGAGUGGAAAGUUCACACUGUGACGGUAUCUUACCAGAAAGGGACGGCUAACUACGUG
rnacentral:rRNA from 1 species